GCGGAGGGAUCAUUACCGAGUUUACAACUCCCAAACCCCUGUGAACAUACCUAUUUGUUGCCUCGGCGGUGCCUGUUCCGACAGCCCGCCAGAGGACCCCAAACCCUGAUUACAUUUAAGAAGUCUUCUGAGUAAACCGAUUAAAUAAAUCAAAACUUUCAACAACGGAUCUCUUGGUUCUGGCAUCGAUGAAGAACGCAGCGAAAUGCGAUAAGUAAUGUGAAUUGCAGAAUUCAGUGAAUCAUCGAAUCUUUGAACGCACAUUGCGCCCGCUAGUAUUCUGGCGGGCAUGCCUGUCCGAGCGUCAUUUCAACCCUCAAGCCCCCGGGCUUGGUGUUGGGGAUCGGCGAGCCUCCGCGCCCGCCGUCCCCUAAAUCUAGUGGCGGUCUCGCUGUAGCUUCCUCUGCGUAGUAGCACACCUCGCACUGGGAAACAGCGCGGCCACGCCGUUAAACCCCCAACUUCUGAACGUUUGACCUCGGAUCAGGUAGGAAUACCCGCUGAACUUAAGCAUAUCAAUA
rnacentral:rRNA from 1 species